CGCACAAGAUGGCGAACACGCAGAUGACAACUUCGUUUUAGACGGCUGGGAAACAGACGUUCGUUUCUUGUUGCAAUCGCGUUAUGCUUUGGCGCAGAGGGACAUCCAGGAUACCAAAUACGCCAAGUAUCAGCGUAUACUGAAACCCAGUUCAUUUCAGAAGCCAUUUACAAUUCAAGAAGAGUUAUGGAAAGAUGUACGACUUAUUCGUCACUACAAGUCCAAAAAGUUCGCAUGCGCUUCACGUCAAGCUGCGGAGGACAACCCACCCAUUCGUCUAUCUGAUGUUUCUGUCCUGGUGUUUGACGAGGCUCACCACUGCAGCGGAAACCACCCGUACAACAAGAUUAUGAAGUACUACAAAAAGACGCCCAACCGGUUUAAACCUGUUGUGCUCGGUCUCACAGCCUCGCCGGGCGGAGAACUUAUGGAACUUAUGAACUUAAGUAUGGAAAUACGCAAUUCUUCACGCGAAGUAAAAUGACAUGAUCUGAGUUAAUGUCAACCAAUUAAGAGGCCUUCUCCGAUUGGACAAUUCUUCACGCGGAAUGUUAGAAUCGCCGAAAUGUUUUUAGGUCACAGAAUGUCAAAAUCGCUCGAUGUAAGCUCUAGUAGCUUAGAUACAAGGUGUACAACAAAUUAUUUCUGUACAAUUUCAGUGGUCAAUUUAUUACAUUUCUCGUCAUUCAAUUUUAAUGUGCUCUAAGUACGAUUUUCUAAGGGUAUAACUGCAUAAAAUGUAGCAGGUCUGAAAGCGAACUCACCCCGUGAUCCUGAAAUGAAUCUUUUGUCAGAUCAGGGAAUCAGAUAUUUUGAUUAAUGCAGUGUUAAUAGAGGAAUAGCGAGUAUUCACCCUUGCGAUGACGUCACGGUAGAAUUCAACAUCAAGAGCGGGUCGCUCUGAUGUUCGUCGGGUCUCAAAACCAUUUCGCUCUAUGAACUAGGAUAAAUGUCUCGCUCGUUUUCUUCAGAGUGCAAAUUUGUGCUUUUUGUGCUGAGAAUCAAUUCCUUACCAAGAAAAUUCUUUCAGCAUCCUGUUUUAAGAACAUUUAAAGAAGGCGACAGUUUCCAGUUCAGUAGAACUUAAGGUAAAAGUAUUGAUUUAGAUAAAUUUUGCCAAAAAGCCCUCUGAGUUUUGUUAAAUAUUUAGUCCAGUGAGAAAUAAGCACGAUGCUGCUGAAAAUCAGCCUAUGUGAAUGCUCAACACAGCCAUUUUCUAACGCUAUAGAAUGAAAUUAAAGUGAGUGAAAUAACUUUGCUUUGGGACGAAAAUAGGGGUGUGGGAGAAUUUUUGGCCGCGGAUGUAAUUUUGAUUGCAUUAUGCCUGUUUGAAGCAUGCAGCUAACUCAAUAAAGGGGUGAAACCUUGUGGAA